rnacentral:rRNA from 1 species
GAUAAACGCUGGCGGCGCACAUAAGACAUGCAAGUCGAACGGACUUAACCAUUAGUUUACUAUUGGAGCGGUUAGUGGCGGACUGGUGAGUAACACGUAAGUAACCUGCCUAUCAGAGGGGAACAACAGUUAGAAAUGACUGCUAAUACCGCAUAUGCCAUAUCCAUUGCAUGAUGGAAGUGGGAAAGAAGCAAUUCGCUGAUAGAUGGACUUGCGACUGAUUAGAUAGUUGGUGGGGUAAAGGCCUACCAAGUCGACGAUCAGUAGCCGAACUGAGAGGUUAAACGGCCACAUUGGGACUGAGAUACGGCCCAG